UCAAUCUUGCUGGGGAGCCCUCUUGGGCCUCAUCUCCAAGAGGUGGAUCAGAAGGAUUAAGAAGGUUGAAAGCUUCUAUGGCAAACAAGGAAUGGGUGGCUGAUUUAGAGAAACCCAAGGGUGAUCCAUCUUCAUUUAUAAAACCAGCAACAACUGUUUUGUCACCUUACUUAAAAGUUAAAAGUAGGUUAUGCAUAGUGUUUUCGAUUUGUUUAUUUAUGCUAUGUUUCUUUCUUUGCGGAGGAAAAAGAAUCUCGCAUUCGUUUAUGUUAUUGCUCUGUUUUUCUCUUUGUUUAAUCAUUAAGCUUAUUGCGCUUCUUCUUC